AUUGAACGCUGGCGGCAGGCUUAACACAUGCAAGUCGAACGAUGAUUAUCUAGCUUGCUAGAUAUGAUUAGUGGCGGACGGGUGAGUAACAUUUAGGAAUCUACCUAGUAGUGGGGGAUAGCUCGGGGAAACUCGAAUUAAUACCGCAUACGACCUACGGGUGAAAGGGGGCGCAAGCUCUUGCUAUUAGAUGAGCCUAAAUCAGAUUAGCUAGUUGGUGGGGUAAAGGCCCACCAAGGCGACGAUCUGUAACUGGUCUGAGAGGAUGAUCAGUCACACCGGAACUGAGACACGGUCCGGACUCCUACGGGAGGCAGCAGUGGGGAAUAUUGGACAAUGGGGGCAACCCUGAUCCAGCCAUGCCGCGUGUGUGAAGAAGGCCUUUUGGUUGUAAAGCACUUUAAGCAGGGAGGAGAGGCUAAUGGUUAAUACCCAUUAGAUUAGACGUUACCUGCAGAAUAAGCACCAGCUAACUCUGUGCCAGCCGCCGCGGUAAUAC
rnacentral:rRNA from 1 species